rnacentral:rRNA from 1 species
AGCGAACGCUGGCGGCAGGCCUAACACAUGCAAGUCGAACGGACCCUUCGGGGUUAGUGGCGGACGGGUGAGUAACACGUGGGAACGUGCCUUUAGGUUCGGAAUAGCUUCUGGAAACGGGUGGUAAUGCCGAAUGUGCCCUUCGGGGGAAAGAUUUAUCGCCUUUAGAGCGGCCGCGUCUGAUUAGCUAGUUGGUGAGGUAACGGCUCACCAAGGCGACGAUCAGUAGCUGGUCUGAGAGGAUGACCAGCCACACUGGGACUGAGACACGGCCCAGACUCCCACGGGAGGCAGCAGUGGGGAAUCUUGCGCAAUGGGCGAAAGCCUGACGCAGCCAUGCCGCGUGAAUGAUGAAGGUCUUAGGAUUGUAAAAUUCUUUCACCGGGGACGAUAAUGACGGUACCCGGAGAAGAAGCCCCGGCUAACUUCGUGCCAGCCGCCGCGGUAA